rnacentral:rRNA from 1 species
GUCGAACGAUGAACCUCACUUGUGGGGGGAUUAGUGGCGAACGGGUGAGUAACACGUGAGUAACCUGCCCUUGACUCUGGGAUAAGCCUGGGAAACCGGGUCUAAUACUGGAUACGACCUUCUGGCGCAUGCCAUGUUGGUGGAAAGCUUUUGUGGUUUUGGAUGGACUCGCGGCCUAUCAGCUUGUUGGUGGGGUAAUGGCCUACCAAGGCGACGACGGGUAGCCGGCCUGAGAGGGUGACCGGCCACACUGGGACUGAGACACGGCCCAGACUCCUACGGGAGGCAGCAGUGGGGAAUAUUGCACAAUGGGCGCAAGCCUGAUGCAGCGACGCCGCGUGAGGGAUGAAGGCCUUCGGGUUGUAAACCUCUUUCAGUAGGGAAGAAGCUGGCCUUUCGGGGUUGGUGACGGUACCUGCAGAAGAAGCGCCGGCUAACUACGUGCCAGCAGCCGCGGUAAUACGUAGGGCGCAAGCGUUAUCCGGAAUUAUUGGGCGUAAAGAGCUCGUAGGCGGUUUGUCGCGUCUGCCGUGAAAGUCCGGGGCUUAACUCCGGAUCUGCGGUGGGUACGGGCAGACUAGAGUGCAGUAGGGGAGACUGGAAUUCCUGGUGUAGCGGUGAAAUGCGCAGAUAUCAGGAGGAACACCGAUGGCGAAGGCAGGUCUCUGGGCUGUAACUGACGCUGAGGAGCGAAAGCAUGGGGAGCGAACAGGAUUAGAUACCCUGGUAGUCCAUGCCGUAACGUUGGGCACUAGGUGUGGGGGACAUUCCACGUUUUCCGCGCCGUAGCUAACGCAUUAAGUGCCCCGCCUAGACUGGAAUUCCUGGUGUAGCGGUGAAAUGCGCAGAUAUCAGGAGGAACACCGAUGGCGAAGGCAGGUCUCUGGGCUGUAACUGACGCUGAGGAGCGAAAGCAUGGGGAGCGAACAGGAUUAGAUACCCUGGUAGUCCAUGCCGUAAACGUUGGGCACUAGGUGUGGGGGACAUUCCACGUUUUCCGCGCCGUAGCUAACGCAUUAAGUGCCCCGCCUGGGGAGUACGGCCGCAAGGCUAAAACUCAAAGGAAUUGACGGGGGCCCGCACAAGCGGCGGAGCAUGCGGAUUAAUUCGAUGCAACGCGAAGAACCUUACCAAGGCUUGACAUGAACCGGAAUGAUGCAGAGAUGUGUCAGCCACUUGUGGCCGGUUUACAGGUGGUGCAUGGUUGUCGUCAGCUCGUGUCGUGAGAUGUUGGGUUAAGUCCCGCAACGAGCGCAACCCUCGUUCCAUGUUGCCAGCGGGUUAUGCCGGGGACUCAUGGGAGACUGCCGGGGUCAACUCGGAGGAAGGUGGGGACGACGUCAAAUCAUCAUGCCCCUUAUGUCUUGGGCUUCACGCAUGCUACAAUGGCCGGUACAAAGGGUUGCGAUACUGUGAGGUGGAGCUAAUCCCAAAAAGCCGGU